AGUGAACGCUGGCGGUAGGCCUAACACAUGCAAGUCGAACGGCAGCACAGUAAGAGCUUGCUCUUAUGGGUGGCGAGUGGCGGACGGGAGAGGAAUACAUCGGAAUCUACUUUUUCGUGGGGGAUAACGUAGGGAAACUUACGCUAAUACCGCAUACGACCUUCGGGUGAAAGCAGGGGAUCUUCGGACCUUGCGCGAUUGAAUGAGCCGAUGUCGGAUUAGCUAGUUGGCGGGGUAAAGGCCCACCAAGGCGACGAUCCGUAGCUGGUCUGAGAGGAUGAUCAGCCACACUGGAACUGAGACACGGUCCAGACUCCUACGGGAGGCAGCAGUGGGGAAUAUUGGACAAUGGGCGCAAGCCUGAUCCAGCCAUACCGCGUGGGUGAAGAAGGCCUUCGGGUUGUAAAGACCUUUUGUUGGGAAAGAAAAGCAGCAGGUUAAUACCCCGCUGUUCUGACGGUACCCAAAGAAUAAGCACCGGCUAACUUCGUG
rnacentral:rRNA from 1 species